rnacentral:rRNA from 1 species
GACAGAGGAUGCAAGCGUUGUCCGGAAUCAUUGGGCGUAAAGCGCGCGUAGGUGGCUUCGUAAGUCCGUUGUGAAAGUCAAAGGCUCAACCUUUGAAUGCCGAUGGAUACUGCGAAGCUAGAGUACGGAAGAGGCGAGUGGAAUUCCUGGUGUAGCGGUGGAAUGCGCAGAUAUCAGGAGGAACACCAAUAGCGAAGGCAGCUCGCUGGGACGUACUGACACUAGGCGCGAAAGCG